rnacentral:tRNA from 1 species
CCCCUUCGUCUAGAGGCCUAGGACACCGCCCUUUCACGGCGGCAACAGGGGUUCGAAUCCCCUAGGGGACGCCA